rnacentral:rRNA from 1 species
GGCCAGACUCCUACGGGAGGCAGCAGUGGGGGAUAUUGCACAAUGGGGGAAACCCUGAUGCAGCGACGCCGCGUGGGUGAAGAAGCGCCUCGGCGCGUAAAGCCCUGUCAGCAGGGAAGAAAAUGACGGUACCUGAAGAAGAAGCCCCGGCUAACUACGUGCCAGCAGCCGCGGUAAUACGUAGGGGGCAAGCGUUAUCCGGAUUUACUGGGUGUAAAGGGGGCGCAGACGGCGAUGCAAGCCAGGAGUGAAAGCCCGGGGCCCAACCCCGGGACUGCACUGGAAACUGCCGGGCUGGAGUGUCGGAGGGGCAGGCGGAAUUCCUAGUGUAGCGGUGAAAUGCGUAGAUAUUAGGAGGAACACCGGUGGCGAAGGCGGCCUGCUGGACGACGACUGACGCUGAGGCUCGAAAGCGUGGGGAGCAAACAGGAUUAGAUACCCUCGUAGAG